CCCGCUGAGUUUAAGCAUAGAAUGAAGCGGAGGAGAAGAAACUAACCAGGAUUUUCCGAGUAACUGCGAGCGAACCGGGAAGAGCCUAGCUUAAAAAUUGAGGACCUUCGCACCCCGAAUUGUAGUCUGGAGAAGCGUCCUCUGCAGCAUACGGGCACCAAGUUCCCUAGAAUGGGAUGCCCAAGUGGGUGACAGCCCCGUCAAGGCCGAUUUUUGUUGCUUCACAAGGUGUGAUCUGCGAGUUGGGCGAGUCAGGUGAGUUGGGCUAUUUGAAAAUGCAGCCCUAAGUGGGAGGUAAAUUCCUUCUAAGGCUAAAUAUUGGCAAGAUAUCGAUCGCAAACAAGUACCACAAGGAAAAGAUGAAAGGGACUUUGAAAGAAAGAGUUAAACAAUGCUUGAAAUUGCUGGGAGAGAAGCGAAUGGAAGCUGCGGGUGUGCCUUGGUGGGAUGUGGAACGGCUUCGGUUGGUCUGUCGCUCAACGCGAGGCAUUGGUCAGCAUGGGCUACUUAGGCGAGACAAGAGCAUGAUGUAGUUUCUUGCCUAUGCCGCUGAGAUGGCCAAAGAACGAAGCAUACGACACUCGAGUCGUGUGACUUUUCUCAACUGCAUGCUUCGGACGCUAGCGUAUUGAACUCUUCAUCCGACCCAUCUUAAAACACGG
rnacentral:ncRNA from 2 species